rnacentral:lncRNA from 1 species
AUCACAUUCAGUGGUGUCAGUCAAAGUAGUUAACUGAAAUGCAGCUAGCAUGCUCAGAUUUGCUUUUCAGGACACAUUUUCACGAAGUAGAAGUGAGGAGUGACUAUGAACUACAGAGCUGAACUCUUAUGGACAGUGGAAACAGUAGAGAAAGAUCUCAUGAAUAUCCAGAUAGAUGCAUUAGCUGCCAGCUGAGAAUCUAUGCAUUAUUGCAUUGCUCUAGAUUUACUGAAAAGCCUGAUACAAAUUACAAAAUGAAUGCUACUCGAUAAAAAGCGUAUCAAUCUAUCUAUCUAUCUAUCUAUCUAUCUAUCUAUUUAUCUAUCUAUUUAUGUAGGUAUGCAUGUAUGUACGUGUUAAACUUCUGGCUAUUCUUUGUAAGAUCUAAUUGUAGAAAUCAAGAUUUCUAAGAAAGGAAAAAUACAAUAAAC